CUCUAUGGCGGACCGUGCGAGGCGGACUUCGGUCCGGCCGGCUGCUUGUGAUCCGGUUUUCCACCCUUGCACGGUCCGCCUCCCUU
rnacentral:antisense_RNA from 1 species